AACGAACGCUGGCGGCAGGCUUAACACAUGCAAGUCGAACGCAUCGCAAGAUGAGUGGCAGACGGGUGAGUAACGCGUGGGAACAUACCCUUUUCUACGGAAUAGCUCUGGGAAACUGGAAUUAAUACCGUAUACGCCCUACGGGGGAAAGAUUUAUCGGGGAAGGAUUGGCCCGCGUUGGAUUAGCUAGUUGGUGGGGUAAAGGCCUACCCAGGCGACGAUCCAUAGCUGGUCUGAGAGGAUGAUCAGCCACAUUGGGACUGAGACACGGCCCAAACUCCUACGGGAGGCAGCAGUGGGGAAUAUUGGACAAUGGGCGCAAGCCUGAUCCAGCCAUGCCGCGUGAGUGAUGAAGGCCUUAGGGUUGUAAAGCUCUUUCACCGAUGAAGACAAUGACGGUAGUCGGAGAAGAAGCCCCGGCUAACUUCGUGCCAGCCGCCGCAGUAACAC
rnacentral:rRNA from 1 species